rnacentral:rRNA from 1 species
CGCUGACAGAAUGCUUAACACAUGCAAGUCUAUGGUGAAGUAAGUGCUUGCACUAAUGGAGCCAUGGCGGACGGGUGAGUAACGCGUAAAGAACUUACCUUAUGGACUGGGAUAACAGUUGGAAACGACUGAUAAGACUGGAUAUAAUUAUAUAUUUGCAUGAAUGUAUAAUGAAAAGAGAUGCCAUAAGAGAGCUUUGCGUCCUAUUAGCUAGUUGGUGAGGUAAAGGCUCACCAAGGCGAUGAUAGGUAGCCGGCCUGAGAGGGUGAACGGCCACAAGGGGACUGAGAUACGGCCCUUACUCUUACGGGAGGCAGCAGUGGGGAAUAUUGGACAAUGGAGGGAACUCUGAUCCAGCAAUUCUGUGUGCACGAAGAAGGUUUUCGGAUUGUAAAGUGCUUUCAGUUGGGAAGAAGGAAGUGACGGUACCAACAGAAGAAGCGACGGCUAAAUACGUGCCAGCAGCCGCGGUAAUACGUAUGUCGCGAGCGUUAUCCGGAAUUAUUGGGCAUAAAGGGCAUCUAGGCGGUUAUGCAAGUCAGGGGUGAAAACUUACGGCUCAACCGUGAGCUUGCCUUUGAAACUGUAUGACUAGAGUACUGGAGAGGUGGGCGGAACUACACGAGUAGAGGUGAAAUUCGUAGAUAUGUGUAGGAAUGCCGAUGAUGAAGAUAGCUCACUGGACAGAAACUGACGCUGAAGUGCGAAAG